UUGACUUCAUCAUAAAUCUUUUAAAAUACUGUCCCAAAAAUAGCCAUAUCCAAUAUGCUUUUAUUGAAAAUAUUUUCCCAACGAAUGGCACAUCUAUUAGCAGCGUUACAACUUGCGCCGGUGACAUUUCGGUCGGCCGCCAGGAACUCUCCGCAAUUAACUACAGAAACUAAGGCAAUAAGAGCAGUAUCGCUUCAGGAAAUUCCCCCAUAUGUGGUUCGAUGAAAGUACGAUUCAACAUAGAGAGGAGGUUUCAGUCUUUGAGUCGAUUUGGGUCUUGCCCGUACUGGACUUUCGCUUAGUAAAGGCUACAAUUUUCGACCCUUAACGGAACCCAAUUUCAUUUGCAAAGCUGUCAUACACCCACAUUCAUAUGCUGAAACUUUGAUUUGGUGGAUUUUAGGUUUUGUAGUUGAGAGGACUAAAGCUUGAACUUCGAAUUAUUCAUAUUAACCAAAAAUAAGUAUACAGCUUCUUUUGUUUGAUGUAGAAAGCUCUAAUUUUAUUGUUAUUUAUAAGAUGAUUAUUGAUGUGAUUCUUCUUGAAUAUGAUUCACUUACUCUUUUCAUUUUAUUUUUGUUAUGAAUUGAAUAAUAUACUAGUAUCUGGAGUUUCAUGAGUAUGAUUUUUUUGGGAGGUUAGGAAAUAAAUGUUUAUAAUUGGACUCCCUUUGUCAAGUGAUGGAAAGGAAACUCCAAAAUCUAACAAAGUUCAGUGUGUUGUUGGUAGGUGCUGUUCGAGCUGCUCUAAGGUAGUAAUCAUAUUGCAGUUUUUGUUUGUUAUUGUUUCUUAUGAAAUAAGGCUAAAUAAUGAAAAAAAAAACAUAAAUUGCAGGCUAAAUGGAUAAUAAUCUCUCUUCUGUUGGUUGAUUUUAUAUGGCAAUGUGGGCCAAUUUCAAUAUGCUGGUUUUAGAGUGAUGAAGUUGGUUGUGUGAAGUAUGUUGUGAUGUUGCAUUCUAUACCUAAGUAGAUUCAAGUGCUAGAGACCUUGCAUAUUUGUUAAAUUUGACAAGGGUCGCCCUCUAGUAAAUAAUAGAGGAUAGAUGUUCGACUCAUCUAUGAAGAUAUUUUUAGGUGAGAUAGUUUAAGUCAUUCAAACUGCAAGAAGGUAUCAUGCAACAUGAAGCACUCUCUUGAACAAGAAAUCUUUCCUGCCUUGAAGCUUAGUACAUCUCUUUAAAUUUAAUGAAAAGAGGACAGAUCAAAUAUUUCGAAGUCUAUUGGUUGAAAUAUCUAUAACAUGAUUGCUUGCUAUGCUUUACUCACCAAAACUGUUCUGAUUAUUACACACUGGGGCUACUAGUUUAAUUCCUAUUUUCAGAAACCUUUGAGUUAGUGUGCUUUGGUUUUACAUUCUUUUUAUAAGUUGGUUUUACAAAUUAUUGAUACUAAGUUCAUCUUGUAGUUCAUUAGUAAUUAUCUCAUGACAUGUUGAAAUUCAUUUUCUAAGUGGUCAGCGACCUUAUACAAUAAUUUGUCAUCUUAAAUGUCAUUUAUGUCCUUUUAGGGGAUGGAGAGUAUAUCUCAACAACAAUUGAUGCAAUGAGCUGCAUUGUUGAUACGUAAUAAGUUCUUUUGACUUAUUCUUUUAUUUGUUGAACAUGCUGCAGAGAUUUGUGAUGAAGUCAAUUAAGGUGAUUUUUGAAGAUUGAAGUUACAAGUCAAGAUGAAAGUUUAGAAGAUGCACAAGCUCAUUAUUAUUUUGCUAAGAACGUUAUGUAAAACUUGAUAACAUAGUCUAGCUUGGGAUGCUAAUUGAUUUAAGUGUUUUUUGUUGAACAAAUAUUUAAACUAUAUCGAUCAUCAUUUUGUAU